GAACGAGAAAGGGGCUUCGGCCCUGAGUAAAGUGGCGCACGGGUGAGUAACACGUGACUAACCUACCCUGGAGUGGGGAAUAACUUCGAGAAAUCGAGGCUAAUACCGCAUAAUACCUACGGGUCAAAGGAGCAAUUCGCUCUGGGAGGGGGUCGCGGCAGAUUAGCUAGUUGGUGGGGUAAUGGCCCACCAAGGCAGUGAUCUGUAUCCGGCCUGAGAGGGCGCACGGACACACUGGAACUGAAACACGGUCCAGACUCCUACGGGAGGCAGCAGUGGGGAAUUUUGCGCAAUGGGGGAAACCCUGACGCAGCAACGCCGCGUGGAGGAUGAAGUCUCUUGGGACGUAAACUCCUUUCGACCGGGACGAUAAUGACGGUACCGGAAGAAGAAGCCCCGGCUAACUUCGUGC
rnacentral:rRNA from 1 species